rnacentral:rRNA from 1 species
GGUUUGACGAGAGCUAUGCUGUCUCUUUUAAAUAUUUAAAAAUUAACUUUUAGGUGAAGAGGCCUAAAUUUAUUUAAGGGACAAGAAGACCCUGUUGAGCUUUAGUGAUGUUGUAAACGAUGAAGAAUAAGUUAUUAUUGAUUUGUUGUGUAUUUAUUAUAAUAAAAGUUUGCAAAUAAUCUUUAGUUGGGGCGACUGAGGAACAUAAAAAGCUUCCUUGUAUAUAAAUUAUUUAAGUAAUUGAAUAAAUUAAUGCUUAUGUGUUAUUUUGAUCCAAAUUAUUUUGAUUAAGAGAAAAAGUUACCACAGGGAUAACAGCGUAAUCUUUCUGGAGAGAUCUUAUCGAAAGAAGGGUUUGCGACCUCGAUGUUGGACUAAGAUAUCCUAAGGGUGUAGAAGUUCUUAAAGGUUGGUCUGUUCGACCAUUAAAAUCUU